rnacentral:rRNA from 1 species
AGACCCGAAACCCGGUGAUCUAGCCAUGGGCAGGUUGAAGGUUGGGUAACACUAACUGGAGGACCGAACCGACUAAUGUUGAAAAAUUAGCGGAUGACCUGUGGCUGGGGGUGAAAGGCCAAUCAAACCGGGAGAUAGCUGGUUCUCCCCGAAAGCUAUUUAGGUAGCGCCUCGUGAAUUCAUCUCCGGGGGUAGAGCACUGUUUCGGCUAGGGGGCCAUCCCGGCUUACCAACCCGAUGCAAACUGCGAAUACCGGAGAAUGUUAUCACGGGAGACACACGGCGGGUGCUAACGUCCGUCGUGAAGAGGGAAACAACCCAGACCGCCAGCUAAGGUCCCAAAGUCAUGGUUAAGUGGGAAACGAUGUGGGAAGGCCCAGACAGCCAGGAUGUUGGCUUAGAAGCAGCCAUCAUUUAAAGAAAGCGUAAUAGCUCACUGGUCGAGUCGGCCUGCGCGGAAGAUGUAACGGGGCUAAACCAUGCACCGAAGCUGCGGCAGCGAACGUAUCACUUAAAGCGAUUCAGCGGGUUACGAUUGACGGAGCGAAGCGACGUCAAAGCGUAUACAAAGUCGAGUCGGUUUAAGGAUACGUUCGUUGGGUAGGGGAGCGUUCUGUAAGCCUGUGAAGGUGUGUCGUGAGGCAUGCUGGAGGUAUCAGAAGUGCGAAUGCUGACAUAAGUAACGAUAAAGCGGGUGAAAAGCCCGCUCGCCGGAAGACCAAGGGUUCCUGUCCAACGUUAAUCGGGGCAGGGUGAGUCGACCCCUAAGGCGAGGCCGAAAGGCGUAGUCGAUGGGAAACGGGUUAAUAUUCCCGUACUUGGUGUUACUGCGAAGGGGGGACGGAGAAGGCUAUGUUGGCCGGGCGACGGUUGUCCCGGUUUAAGCGUGUAGGUGUGUGUUCCAGGU